GGCCCCAUGGUCAAGUGGCUUAAGACACCGCCCUUUCACGGCGGUAACGCGGGUUCGAAUCCCGCUGGGGUCACCA
rnacentral:tRNA from 2 species